CUUAUACAUCUUGGUUCCACCAGGGUGAACCGUAUAAGGUGAAUAAUGAGCCUCUUUCAAAAUCUCUUCUCAGAUCUCUAAAUCCAUGGCACACACAGUCGGUCUCUGUACCGCAGUACUCCCGAACUGUCCAUAACAAAACUCUCUGCCUGUCCCCUCUCCAACUGCUCUCUAAUCCUCAACAAAUGCGGGUCUCCACUCUGUUUCUCUCGCAUCCUAUCCAACAGAGUG
rnacentral:lncRNA from 1 species